AAGCAGAUGAAAAGAGAUUACAAGCAAACCAAACAACACACUAAAUACACUAAAAGAUGAAAAGCAAAUAGCCACACACAACUAAAUAACAAACAAAUAUUAAAAUGCCUAAAACAAAACCCAAAGUAAAAAACCAUAAACGAAACAAAACAGAGCCUUCCCCCAAACAACCAUAGAAAGAAACCAGAGAAAUACUAGCCAAAACCUCUUCAAACAAAGCUAAAAAAUCAUCAAACAUAGUACAAGAGGCAAAAGCUUAAGAUAAACAAGCCCACGGAGAUUCAAAGUGAACCUUCUCCAUUUUCAAGCUUCUAAAAGAAACCUUAAUACUGUCGAAUCUAGUUGUUCCAGUCCACAAUUGUCAUCUUCUCAAUUGGAUCUGGGGCUUCUUCAACCCAAAAACAUGGUGCUUGAUACCGACGUCCUUUCUUAGCCAACAUAUGGGUAGCCUUAUUUACUUCUCUUGGAAUGAAAUGGAGUCUCCUUCAACAGAAAUCUUGAGGAAACCCAUUUCAGCUGCAAAGAGUAAAGAUCUCUCGAAAGCCCUAGCUUCUGCCACAAAAGCAUCUUGGAUUCCAUCAUAAGGGAAUCCAUCCUUUGGGUACUCAAAAUAUACAGGUGUUUCCACAGUUGCUGAAGUACCUGACAAGUUUGAUUCAAUUGAUUAGCAUCUUUCAAUGGGUUGUUGCACAGUGGACACAAAACAUCUUUGAUCAAUCUAUGCUUGGCUAAAUUGCUGAAAUGAGGCAAGAAAUCAUUGAACAGUCCACACAUGUAUAUUUAUUUUUUCUGGUAGUUGUAAUUUUCAUAGAGAGUUGUAAAAUUCUUUGUAAAUGUGGGGUGUAGCAGUAGAAAUCUGAUUAGCAAAAUGUAGAUGUUCUGAAAUUAGGACUUUGUACCCACUUUUUACUAUGUAUUUAUUCCUCGGUUGCCUCAUGCCUCUAGACCAACAUGUCAUUUAAUCAUAUAUGAGAGAGAGGGACAUUGAAGAUA